rnacentral:rRNA from 1 species
ACAUGCAAGUCGAACGGUAACAGGAAGCAGCUUGCUGYUUYGCUGACGAGUGGCGGACGGGUGAGUAAUGUCUGGGAAACUGCCUGAUGGAGGGGGAUAACUACUGGAAACGGUAGCUAAUACCGCAUAACGUCGCAAGACCAAAGAGGGGGACCUUCGGGCCUCUUGCCAUCGGAUGUGCCCAGAUGGGAUUAGCUWGUWGGUGGGGUAACGGCUCACCUAGGCGACGAUCCCUAGCUGGUCUGAGAGGAUGACCAGCCACACUGGAACUGAGACACGGUCCAGACUCCUACGGGAGGCAGCAGUGGGGAAUAUUGCACAAUGGGCGCAAGCCUGAUGCAGCCAUGCCGCGUGUAUGAAGAAGGCCUUCGGGUUGUAAAGUACUUUCAGCGGGGAGGAAGGGAGUAAAGUUAAUACCUUUGCUCAUUGACGUUACCCGCAGAAGAAGCACCGGCUAACUCCGUGCCAGCAGCCGCGGUAAUACGGAGGGUGCAAGCGUUAAUCGGAAUUACUGGGCGUAAAGCGCACGCAGGCGGUUUGUUAAGUCAGAUGUGAAAUCCCCGGGCUCAACCUGGGAACUGCAUCUGAUACUGGCAAGCUUGAGUCUCGUAGAGGGGGGUAGAAUUCCAGGUGUAGCGGUGAAAUGCGUAGAGAUCUGGAGGAAUACCGGUGGCGAAGGCGGCCCCCUGGACGAAGACUGACGCUCAGGUGCGAAAGCGUGGGGAGCAAACAGGAUUAGAUACCCUGGUAGUCCACGCCGUAAACGAUGUCGACUUGGAGGUUGUGCCCUUGAGGCGUGGCUUCCGGAGCUAACGCGUUAAGUCGACCGCCUGGGGAGUACGGCCGCAAGGUUAAAACUCAAAUGAAUUGACGGGGGCCCGCACAAGCGGUGGAGCAUGUGGUUUAAUUCGAUGCAACGCGAAGAACCUUACCUGGUCUUGACAUCCACGGAAGUUUUCAGAGAUGAGAAUGUGCCUUCGGGAACCGUGAGACAGGUGCUGCAUGGCUGUCGUCAGCUCGUGUUGUGAAAUGUUGGGUUAAGUCCCGCAACGAGCGCAACCCUUAUCCUUUGUUGCCAGCGGUCCGGCCGGGAACUCAAAGGAGACUGCCAGUGAUAAACUGGAGGAA